UCUAUAGUGAUACACUUCCAUCCUCAAACUUGCAAUAUUAGUUUACUUUACAUAUAUAGAUUUUGUAUUGUUAGAAAUGGCCUUUCCCAGUGCCUCCAAAUUCAUGUCAUUUGCUGCUCUUAUAGCAGUACUUGUACUACUCAUGUCCUCUACGCUGGGAAGUGCUGCUCAACCUAGUAUUAAACUCGGGCGAAAACUUUUCCAAGCUGGUGACUUGCCAAGUACUUAUGGUCCAUAUGGUGGUAGUGGAGGAUAUACCCCUAUACCAUGAAAUCAUUAUCCACGUAGGCCAGGGCAAUAAAUAACCAAUAAGCCACUGAGUGCAUGGCUGAAAUAUUGGACAUGCAUGUUAGCGUCGUUCUUUAAUUCUGUGAUUUCAGUACUAGAAUAAUAGCUAGUAUAUAUGUCAUGUACUUAAUUUCACCGAACUAUGUGUAUCAGUGCUCUGGGUCACAAAUCACAAUUAUUUAUAAAUAAAAUUCUCAUUCUCCUUUGUCA